GGUGAAAGGCUUGCUGCCUGAAGAAGAGCUUGCGUCCGAUUAGCUAGUUGGUGAGGUAAAGGCUUACCAAGGCAUCGAUCGGUAGCUGGUCUGAGAGGAUGACCAGCCACACUGGGACUGAGACAAGGCCCAGACUCCUACGGGAGGCAGCAGUGGGGAAUUUUCCGCAAUGGGCGAAAGCCUGACGGAGCAAUACCGCGUGAGGGAAGAAGGCUCUUGGGUUGUAAACCUCUUUUCUCAGGGAAUAAAAAAAUGAAGGUACCUGAGGAAUAAGCAUCGGCUAACUCCGUGCCAGCAGCCGCGGUAAUACGGAGGAUGCAAGCGUUAUCCGGAAUGAUUGGGCGUAAAGCGUCCGCAGGUGGUACAACAAGUCUAGUGUCAAAGACCGGGGCUCAACUCCGGAAAGGCGGUGGAAACUGUUGAACUAGAGGGUCGUAGGGGUAGAGGGAAUUCCCAGUGUAGCGGUGAAAUGCGUAGAGAUUGGGAAGAACAUCGGUGG
rnacentral:rRNA from 1 species